ensembl:lncRNA
GUAAGCGCGGCCCCUUUCGCGGUCGCCUCGCGGGCUCCUCCUUGCGGACCGCGCGGGCGGGACGCCAGGCGGCCGUUGGACGCUGGCGGGCCGGCUGGGGGUUCCUGCCGCGGGGUUGGGAGGGCUUGUGAUGCGGCACCACUGGGGCUUUCGGGGCGCUGGUCCUCCAGGCCGGGCUGGAAGACUUGGGCGAGCCUCGGACUAACGUGCCAAGGAUCUGGCAGCCUGAGGUCGAGAUGGCGGUAGGCCCUGGACUUCCCUGCACUGCAGGCAGUGAUGAGGCUGGGCAGCAGCGAAAGGAGAAAAUGGACUUCCUCCUCCUGUAGACAAGAAUGCCAGCUACCAGCCAUGGCUUCCUGCGAACGGCAGGGAAAAUGUCAGCUACCUCAGAGGAGCCUCGGAAGAUGAAUGUGAUGAUGCAUCCAGCAUGGGCCUGGCCCAGAGUAAGACCUCAGUGAACGUCAGCUAUGAUGACGGUUUAGGCCAGGGAGUUCGAGUGACUUGCUUAAGGUCAUGUGGAGAGUUAGGAGCAAAGCUGGAAACAGGCGCCAUGGCUCAUGGGGUCCCAGGCCAGUGCUUUCUCUCCAGGAUUCACUUUGGUGUCCAAGAGAAAACGGUUCCAGCAUGGAAGAGGAGGAGCGGGACAUGGACUAGGGGAAGCCACCAGGGUUUGCUGGGCUGGACCCAGUUUAACACACGUGAAAGGGGGUGGUCCUUCUCUUGAGCUAGUCAGCCAGGGUCCCCCUACCCCCACAGAGCCAUUCUCAGACCUGGCACAGCACCCUAUCCAAACUGGACACCACCACCUGCUUGUUGAACUGAUCAGAGACUCACCUCUCACCUACAUCACAUCCUAGAAUGAAGCACAGGCUUCGCAUGUCACACUCAAGUGGGCACACCCUCAUGGACAAAUGCAGUCUUUCCCCUACUCAGUCAGACUUUGUCCUUUCAAUUCUUUCUAUUUUUAAACAUUAGCUUUUUGUGAUUAUUUCUGUGUUUGCUGGAUUUAUUGACAUUAAAAUAAAUAUUUCUUUUUUUAAAGAAUUUAGUUAUUUUUAUGUUUAUUUUCUUUAUUUAUUUUUG